AGAUGCUGAAGCAAAAGAAAAGGGCAAACUAGCGCCAGAAAAGAAAGGGAAAGACAAAGCAACUCCUGCAAAUGAAGAUGUCGCAGUUAUUAAAGAAAAGGUGAAAUCAGCCACUGCAAAGAAAGAAGCUGAAGUUCCCAAAGAAAAAACCAAAGCAGCUACAUCAAAGAAA